UACAGAGGUCCCAAGCGUUGUUCGGAUUCACUGGGCGUAAAGGGUGCGUAGGUGGUUGCGCAAGUCUGAUGUGAAAUCUCCGGGCUCAACCCGGAAAUGGCAUUGGAAACUGCGUGGCUAGAGGGUUGGAGGGGGGACUGGAAUACUUGGUGUAGCAGUGAAAUGCGUAGAUAUCAAGUGGAACACCAGUGGCGAAGGCGGCAUCCUGGCCAUGUCCUGACGCUCAGGGGCGAAAGCGUGGGGAGCAAACCGG
rnacentral:rRNA from 1 species